UACGAAGGGGGCUAGCGUUGUUCGGAAUUACUGGGCGUAAAGCGCACGUAGGCGGACAUUUAAGUUGGAGGUGAAAGCCUUGGGCUCAACCCAAGAAUUGCCUUUGAUACUGGAUGUCUCGAGACCGGGAGAGGUGAGUGGAGUUCCGAGUGUAGAGGUGAAAUUCGUAGAUAUUCGGAAGAACACCAGUGGCGAAGGCGGCUUCCUGGACCGACACUGACGCUGAGGCGCGAAAGCUAGGGGAGCAAACGGG
rnacentral:rRNA from 1 species